UGCUAUGCCAGGAAUGCAAGAGUUUCAGGUUCCCCCCAGGGAUCAAAGCAGCUAACUACAAAUAACCUCGCGGCUCCGCCUCCGCUUCCAGCGGCCAGGCCUCCUGCAUCCCGGCAGGGGGCGCGCGCGGCGGACGCACAGACCGGCUCAGCCGAGCGGAGGCCCGACGCUUUAGCGCGCCUCGGAGUGCAAAGCCGCUCGAGGGACUAUGGCGAGGAACGAUGCGGGAAAGCAGGAGCAGUCGUCAGAGCCCCGCGGGCACGGCCCAAGGGGGGAGGCAGACACCCUGAAGACUACAUUUCCCAGAGUUUAUCAGAGCACAGGAGGCAUCAGAAACAGCUUUAACACUGGUGGAGGUGCAGCAGAGAGCAAGAGAUACUUUUUUUCACUAUUUGUGAGCCAACCAGCUGGACAUGAUAGCACAAGCAGAAGACCCAACCCACAAUACAUUUUGAUCAGGCAUCUGAUGAAGAGAACUUGAUUCUCGAAAGCUU